ACGAUAAUAGCAAUCCCGGUGAAAACCGGCGACGCAAAGCUAUAGGGCCUUACCCCUGGGAACAGGGCUGGCAGCCAGUUACCGA
rnacentral:ncRNA from 1 species